AAAGCUCAGGUAUGACAGAUUUCUGGCUCUCACUCAGUCACUCUAGCCCAUCAACAUUUGAUUUAUUUUGGCUACCCAAUUGAGAGAAUUUAUGGGUUUUGGCAUAUAUGUCUGCAUGAAGUCAUUAACCACGUUUACAAAGAUAUUCAUGGAGUUUUUCUAUACAAUUCUCUUCUUUCAAAAUUUCUGUAAAAUUCUGUGUCUUUCGGUGACUCUGAUUGUUAGGCGUACUUGGAAUGUGGUGAGGAGAGCUCAGUCAAUUGGAAGGAAGGUUGCUGGAAUUUGGAAAAAAUGGGUUCAAAUACUCUGCAACAGUUGCUGGGAAUCCAGACUCUGCCAGGACUUCCAUCCACUUGUCAAACCCAAACAUUUGUAAAACUGUUGAAUGUCCUUCACCACAGCCUCUCUAUUGGCCAACUCUGCCACCUGAUUGUAAAUUCUAAGAAUACUAACAAAGAGAAAUCUCAAAGCUAGAAGAUGCUAUGUAAUAGCCAAUAGGGAACAUCCUGAAAGCUGGAAUAUAUAUUUUUGCCAUUUAGUUGAUAUGUGCCAUUCUCAUGAUCCCUAUUUCCAUUUCUGAUUUUUACUCUCAUUUUUUUUUUAAAUCAAUUUAUUAAAUACAAAGACAUUCACAUUUUAUUGAGGGAAGGCUGUCAUUUCAGCCAUCCCAAUAGUUUGAAGUUAGAGAACGGAUGGUAUUUCAAGGAGGCUUUCCUGGAGCUUCUAGAUCAAUAAUAGAUUUUUUUGCUUAAAAGGUAUGCCUACUGACUAUUGUAAUUCUCGUGUGAAAUGUCGAUGAAUGUUUAUUUCCAUCACUUUGGUGGAUUACUACUGCAAUAUACUUUUUCAUAGGCUUUUAUCACGUGUUGAAACUGCCUUGAGAGAUACAAAUCUUUCCUUCAAAGAUAUAGAUGAAGUAAUCUCAUUGCUGGUUCAAUUAGCAUCCCAUCUGUCUAGGAGCAAAUAAGGAAAUAACUGGAAAAGAGCCCAAUGUGACUGUAAAUCCUUUUGAAGUUGUUGCUCUUGGGGCUAUAGUUCAGGUUUGUCUUAUUCCUCUUUAUUUAUGGAAGAAAAAUUAAAGCUCUCUAUUUCUGAUAUUAUCUAUUGUAGUACUUAUUAGAAUUUGCACUAAUUAUUGUGACAGUUGAGGCAUCAAUAAUUAUUUUUGUGGCUUUCAUUCCUGGCCCUGGAAUGACAUUGUGCUCUUGGAUGUCACUUAUUACUUUCAAUGUAGAGCUCUCUAUUUCUGAUAUUGUCCACUGUAGUACUUAGAACUUGCAUUAAUUGUUGAGAUAGUUGAGGCAUCAAUAUUUACUUUUGUGACUUUCAUUUUAGUACUUGAAACUUCAGUUGGUGUGAUGACAGAUUAUCUGAAGGAACCCAACCUUACCAAUUUCCAAAUCAGGGUUGUUUUCUUUUCAACUGCAGUAGAUGAAUAUAAACAAGUAUCAAGGUGAGAGAGUUUGUGAGGGACAACAAAUCUCUUGAAAGCUUUCGCUUAGAUGGCAUCCCACAUGUGCCACAUGGAGUUCCUCAAAUUGUGGUGAAAUUUGGUAUUGUUGCUGAUGGUAUUCUUUCGGUCACUGCAGUUGACAAGGGAAUUGGAAAGUAGGAUACUGCCAUAACUGGUGCUAGCACCUUGCCAAGUGAUAAAGAUGGUUAAAGAAGCUGAAAAUUUUUUAAAGGAAGACAUGGAAAAGAGGGAUGCCCUAGAUACAAAGAACCAAGCUGAAUCAGUUUUGCACCAAAUUGAGAAGGAACUUAAAGAGCUGGGAGACAAAAGUUUCUGGCUCAAUCAAGGAGAAAGAAGAGGCUGAAGUGAAAGAGCACAAGGAUGCCAUCUUUGGUGGAUCAUCCCAAGCCAUUAAAGAUGCAACGGCUGACCUGAAGCUAGAGCCGGCUCAACAACUUUUGGGGCCUUAGGCGAAAAUUUUAAAUGGAGCCUUUUUAUAAUUAAAUAUUAAUCAAAUAAUAUACUAGCCAUCUUCUAUUAAAUUUCUCCCCAUUUGAUAACUUUUUAAAAUAAAAUGUAGUAGAAAAAUGUCUACGAUCUUUAUCUAUAGGAAAAUUUAGAUCAUUGUCUCUAAUUGGACCCUUUUCUACUAAUAAAUCUCUUAAUUUUGUAUCAAUAUUUUCCCAUUGACUUGGAUCAUAG